CGAACUUCCGUUAAUUGAUCAGGACGUGCUUGCACUGAAUGAGAUUUUAACACGAAGUGAGUGGCGGACGGGUGAGUAACACGUGGGUAACCUGCCCAGAAGCAGGGGAUAACACCUGGAAACAGAUGCUAAUACCGUAUAACAGAGAAAACCGCCUGGUUUUCUUUUAAAAGAUGGCUCUGCUAUCACUUCUGGAUGGACCCGCGGCGCAUUAGCUAGUUGGUGAGGUAACGGCUCACCAAGGCGAUGAUGCGUAGCCGACCUGAGAGGGUAAUCGGCCACAUUGGGACUGAGACACGGCCCAGACUCCUACGGGAGGCAGCAGUAGGGAAUCUUCCACAAUGGACGCAAGUCUGAUGGAGCAACGCCGCGUGAGUGAAGAAGGGUUUCGGCUCGUAAAGCUCUGUUGUUAAAGAAGAACGUGGGUGAGAGUAACUGUUCACCCAGUGACGGUAUUUAACCAGAAAGCCACGGCUAACUACGUGCCAGCAGCCGCGGUAAUACGUAGGUGGCAAGCGUUAUCCCGGAUUUAUUGGGCGUAAAGCGAGCGCAGGCGGUCUUUUAAGUCUAAUGUGAAAGCCUUCGGCUCAACCGAAGAAGUGCAUUGGAAACUGGGAGACUUGAGUGCAGAAGAGGACAGUGGAACUCCAUGUGUAGCGGUGAAAUGCGUAGAUAUAUGGAAGAACACCAGUGGCGAAGGCGGCUGUCUGGUCUGUAACUGACGCUGAGGCUCGAAAGCAUGGGUAGCGAACAGGAUUAGAUACCCUGGUAGUCCAUGCCGUAAACGAUGAUUACUAAGUGUUGGAGGGUUUCCGCCCUUCAGUGCUGCAGCUAACGCAUUAAGUAAUCCGCCUGGGGAGUACGACCGCAAGGUUGAAACUCAAAAGAAUUGACGGGGGCCCGCACAAGCGGUGGAGCAUGUGGUUUAAUUCGAAGCUACGCGAAGAACCUUACCAGGUCUUGACAUCUUCUGCCAACCUAAGAGAUUAGGCGUUCCCUUCGGGGACAGAAUGACAGGUGGUGCAUGGUUGUCGUCAGCUCGUGUCGUGAGAUGUUGGGUUAAGUCCCGCAACGAGCGCAACCCUUAUUACUAGUUGCCAGCAUUCAGUUGGGCACUCUAGUGAGACUGCCGGUGACAAACCGGAGGAAGGUGGGGACGACGUCAAAUCAUCAUGCCCCUUAUGACCUGGGCUACACACGUGCUACAAUGGAUGGUACAACGAGUCGCGAAACCGCGAGGUUUAGCUAAUCUCUUAAAACCAUUCUCAGUUCGGACUGUAGGCUGCAACUCGCCUACACGAAGUCGGAAUCGCUAGUAAUCGCGGAUCAGCAUGCCGCGGUGAAUACGUUCCCGGGCCUUGUACACACCGCCCGUCACACCAUGAGAGUUUGUAACACCCAAAGCCGGUGGGGUAACC
rnacentral:rRNA from 1 species